rnacentral:rRNA from 1 species
ACACGUGGGCAAUCUGCCCUGCACUCUGGGACAAGCCCUGGAAACGGGGUCUAAUACCGGAUAUUACCUUCCUCUGCAUGGGGGUUGGUGGAAAGCUCCGGCGGUGCAGGAUGAGCCCGCGGCCUAUCAGCUUGUUGGUGGGGUAAUGGCCUACCAAGGCGACGACGGGUAGCCGGCCUGAGAGGGCGACCGGCCACACUGGGACUGAGACACGGCCCAGACUCCUACGGGAGGCAGCAGUGGGGAAUAUUGCACAAUGGGCGAAAGCCUGAUGCAGCGACGCCGCGUGAGGGAUGACGGCCUUCGGGUUGUAAACCUCUUUCAGCAGGGAAGAAGCGCAAGUGACGGUACCUGCAGAAGAAGCACCGGCUAACUACGUGCCAGCAGCCGCGGUAAUACGUAGGGUGCGAGCGUUGUCCGGAAUUAUUGGGCGUAAAGAGCUCGUAGGCGGCUUGUCACGUCGGUUGUGAAAGCCCGGGGCUUACCCCGGGUCUGAGCGAUCGGGCAGGCUAGAGUUCGGUAGGGGAGAUCGGAAUUCCUGGUGUAGCGGUGAAAUGCGCAGAUAUCAGGAGGAACACCGGUGSGAAGGCGGA